AGUGAACGCUGGCGGUAGGCCUAACACAUGCAAGUCGAACGGCAGCACAGUAAGAGCUUGCUCUUACGGGUGGCGAGUGGCGGACGGGUGAGGAAUACAUCGGAAUCUACUUUUUCGUGGGGGAUAACGUAGGGAAACUUACGCUAAUACCGCAUACGACCUACGGGUGAAAGCAGGGGAUCUUCGGACCUUGCGCGAUUGAAUGAGCCGAUGUCGGAUUAGCUAGUUGGCGGGGUAAAGGCCCACCAAGGCGACGAUCCGUAGCUCGUCUGAGAGGAUGAUCAGCCACACUGGAACUGAGACACGGUCCAGACUCCUACGGGAGGCAGGAGUGGGGAAUAUUGGACAAUGGGCGCAAGCCUGAUCCAGCCAUACCGCGUGGGUGAAGAAGGCCUUCGGGUUGUAAAGCCCUUUUGUUGGGAAAGAAAAGCAGCAGGUUAAUACCCCGCUGUUCUGACGGUACCCAAAGAAUAAGCACCGGCUAACUUCGUG
rnacentral:rRNA from 1 species